rnacentral:rRNA from 1 species
UACGUAGGGUGCGAGCGUUGUCCGGAAUUAUUGGGCGUAAAGGGCGCGUAGGCGGGGAUAAUAGUCAGAUGUGAAAUCCUGGGGCUCAACCUCAGAACUGCAUUUGAAACUGUAUCUCUAGAGGAUAGGCGGAGAAAACGGAAUUCCACAAGUAGCGGUGAAAUGCGUAGAUAUGUGGAAGAACACCGGUGGCGAAGGCGGUUUUCUAGCUUAUUCCUGACGCUGAGGCGCGAAAGCAAGGGGAUCAAACAGG